AAGCAUUCAAGUAUUUCACCUUCUCUUGCUUAUGUUAAAGAAAUUUCGACUGAUAAAAAAUGCAGUCAUAUUAUAAUGUCUCUGCAUUAUUUUAUGUCGAAAUUUUUU